AGAACCUCUACAUGUCCUGUACUGUACUGUUCAAUAACGUCCUUCACAUCAUAAGGUUUCUUGGCAAGCUACAUUGAGGAAACUGCUCACCCACAAUAACAAAAGGCUUCAAUGCAAAACGAAUGUGACCAAACAGACCAGAAUAAGUACUUCGGCAACCUGCUGACCACAUGCGAAGAAUGUAUUCAAAUGUAAAUACAAAAAGCAGAAAAACUUCCUGAAAAUCAUAAUACAGAAAAUUCAUUUUAACACAGAAAUACAGAACAAAACAAAAUUCAAAUAAAUUAUCUUCUUACCAAAACCAAUGCAGAAGAAUAUAGACCCUGGCUGUCUUUAAAUGAUGUGGUCUCCAGGAUUGCAAAUAUCAAACCAACAAGAACCAUUCCAAACCUUGAAAACAUUAAAAAGUUACAUGUUUGAGAUGUGGUAAAAACAUUUGUAGUUUUGUUUGGGAAAAUCUAAACCCUUUCAUUACUAACUGCUAAAAUUAUUUAGUCCAACCGAGAUUUUGUUAUUACCAUACAGAAAUGCAGCUCUAACAUUAUUGAAGGUUAAUUGUCAUAAAAAUAAAUGCUAUCAGUUUGUUCAA